rnacentral:rRNA from 1 species
GACGAACGCUGGCGGCGUGCUUAACACAUGCAAGUCGAACGGAAAGGCCCUGCUUUUGUGGGGUGCUCGAGUGGCGAACGGGUGAGUAACACGUGAGUAACCUGCCCUUGACUUUGGGAUAACUUCAGGAAACUGGGGCUAAUACCGGAUAGGAGCUCCUGCUGCAUGGUGGGGGUUGGAAAGUUUCGGCGGUUGGGGAUGGACUCGCGGCUUAUCAGCUUGUUGGUGGGGUAGUGGCUUACCAAGGCUUUGACGGGUAGCCGGCCUGAGAGGGUGACCGGCCACAUAGGGACUGAGAUAAGGCCCAGACGCCUACGGGAGGAAGCAGUGGGGAAUAUUGCACAAUGGGCGGAAGCCUGAUGCAGCAACGCCGCGUGCUGGAUGACGGCCUUCGGGUUGUAAAACGCUUUCGCCUGUGACGAAGCGUGAGUGACGGUAAUGGGUAAAGAAGCACCGGCUAACUACGUG